GAUGAACGCUGGCGGCGUGCCUAAUACAUGCCAGUCGAGCGAACGGACGAGAAGCUUGCUUUUCUGAUGUUAGCGGCGGACGGGUGAGUAACACGUGGAUAACCUACUUAUAAGACUGGGAUAAUUUCGGGAAACCGGAGCUAAUACCGGAUAAUAUUUUGAACCGCAUGGUUCAAAAGUGAAAGACGGUCUUGCUGUCACUUAUAGAUGGAUCCGCGCUGCAUUAGCUAGUUGGUAAGGUAACGGCUUACCAAGGCAACGAUGCAUAGCCGACCUGAGAGGAUGAUCGGCCACACUGGAACUGAGACACGGUCCAGACUCCUACGGGAGGCAGCAGUAGGGAAUCUUCCGCAAUGGGCGAAAGCCUGAUGGAGCAACGCCGCGUGAGUGAUGAAGGUCUUCGGAUCGUAAAACUCUGUUAUUAGGGAAGAACAUAUGUGUAAGUAACUGUGCACAUCUUGACGGUACCUAAUCAGAAAGCCACGGCUAACUACGUG
rnacentral:rRNA from 1 species